rnacentral:rRNA from 1 species
GGUUAAGCGAAUAAGCGUACACGGUGGAUGCCUAGGCAAUCAGAGGCGAUGAAGGACGUGCUAAUCUGCGAAAAGCGUCGGUAAGGUGAUAUGAACCGUUAUACCCGACGAUAUCCGAAUGGGGAAACCCAGUAUCCAAUGGAUACUAUCAUUAACUGAAUCCAUAGGUUAAUGAGGCGAACCGGGAGAACUGAAACAUCUCAGUACCCCGAGGAAAAGAAAUCAACCGAGAUUCCCCUAGUAGCGGCGAGCGAACGGGGAGCAGCCCAGAGUCUUAAUCAAUAGCAGUGUCAGGAGAACGGUCUGGAAAGUCCGGCAGUAAAGGGUGAUAGCCCCGUAUCUGAAGAUGCUGUUAUUGUGAACUCGACGAGUAGGGCGGGACACGUGUUAUCCUGUCUGAAUAUGGGGGGACCAUCCUCCAAGGCUAAAUACUCCUGAUUGACCGAUAGUGAACCAGUACCGUGAGGGAAAGGCGAAAAGAACCCCGGCGAGGGGAGUGAAAAAGAACCUGAAACCGUGUACGUACAAGCAGUAGGAGCCUCUUUAUGGGGUGACUGCGUACCUUUUGUAUAAUGGGUCAGCGACUUAUAUUCUGUAGCAAGGUUAACCGUAUAGGGGAGCCGUAGGGAAACCGAGUCUUAACUGGGCGAAUGAGUUGCAGGGUAUAGACCCGAAACCCGGUGAUCUAUCCAUGGGCAGGUUGAAGGUUGGGUAACACUAACUGGAGGACCGAACCGACUAAUGUUGAAAAAUUAGCGGAUGACUUGUGGAUGGGGGUGAAAGGCCAAUCAAACCGGGAGAUAGCUGGUUCUCCCCGAAAGCUAUUUAGGUAGCGCCUCGUGAAUUCAUCUUCGGGGGUAGAGCACUGUUUCGACUAGGGGGUCAUCCCGACUUACCAACUCGAUGCAAACUGCGAAUACCGAAGAAUGUUAUCACGGGAGACACACGGCGGGUGCUAACGUCCGUCGUGAAGAGGGAAACAACCCAGACCGCCAGCUAAGGUCCCAAAGUCAUGGUUAAGUGGGAAACGAAGUGGGAAGGCUCAGACAGCCAGGAUGUUGGCUUAGAAGCAGCCAUCAUUUAAAGAAAGCGUAAUAGCUCACUGGUCGAGUCGGCCCGCGCGGAAGAUGUAACGGGGCUAAACCAUGCACCGAAGCUGCGGCAGCGACACAAAGUGUUGUUGGGUAGGGGAGCGUUCUGUAAGCCUGCGAAGGUGUACUGUGAGGUAUGCUGGAGGUAUCAGAAGUGCGAAUGCUGACAUAAGUAACGAUAAUGCGGGUGAAAAACCCGCACGCCGGAAGACCAAGGGUUCCUGUCCAACGUUAAUCGGGGCAGGGUGAGUCGACCCCUAAGGCGAGGCUGAAAAGCGUAGUCGAUGGGAAACGGGUUAAUAUUCCCGUACUGGUGGUAACUGCGAUGGGGGAACGGAGAAGGCUAGGUUGUCCGGGCGACGGUCGUCCCGGUUCAAGCAGGUAGGCAGAGUGAUUAGGCAAAUCCGGUCACUUAAUGCUGAGAUGUGAUGACGAACCACCAAGGUGGUGAAGCAAUUGAUGCCCCGCUUCCAGGAAAAGCCUCUAAGCUUCAGGUUACCAACAAUCGUACCCCAAACCGACACAGGUGGUCAGGUAGAGAAUACUCAGGCGCUUGAGAGAACUCGGGUGAAGGAACUAGGCAAAAUGGUGCCGUAACUUCGGGAGAAGGCACGCUGGCGGUAGGUAAAGUCCCUCGCGGACGGCGCCCAAGCCAGUCGAAGAUACCAGCUGGCUGCAACUGUUUAUUAAAAACACAGCACUGUGCAAACACGAAAGUGGACGUAUACGGUGUGACGCCUGCCCGGUGCUGGAAGGUUAAUUGAUGGGGUUAGCCGUAAGGCGAAGCUCCUGAUCGAAGCCCCAGUAAACGGCGGCCGUAACUAUAACGGUCCUAAGGUAGCGAAAUUCCUUGUCGGGUAAGUUCCGACCUGCACGAAUGGCGUAAUGAUGGCCAGGCUGUCUCCACCCGAGACUCAGUGAAAUUGAACUCGCUGUGAAGAUGCAGUGUACCCGCGGCAAGACGGAAAGACCCCGUGAACCUUUACUAUAGCUUGACACUGAACAUUGAGCCUUGAUGUGUAGGAUAGGUGGGAGGCUUUGAAGUGUGGACGCCAGUCUGCAUGGAGCCAACCUUGAAAUACCACCCUUUAACGUUUGAUGUUCUAACCUAGGCCCAUAAACUGGGUCGGGGACCGUGUCUGGUGGGUAGUUUGACUGGGGCGGUCUCCUCCUAAAGAGUAACGGAGGAGCACGAAGGUUGGCUAAGCAUGGUCGGACAUCAUGCGGUUAGUGCAAAGGCAUAAGCCAGCUUGACUGCGAGAGUGACGGCUCGAGCAGGUACGAAAGUAGGUCUUAGUGAUCCGGUGGUUCUGAAUGGAAGGGCCAUCGCUCAACGGAUAAAAGGUACUCCGGGGAUAACAGGCUGAUACCGCCCAAGAGUUCAUAUCGACGGCGGUGUUUGGCACCUCGAUGUCGGCUCAUCACAUCCUGGGGCUGAAGUAGGUCCCAAGGGUAUGGCUGUUCGCCAUUUAAAGUGGUACGCGAGCUGGGUUUAGAACGUCGUGAGACAGUUCGGUCCCUAUCUGCCGUGGGCGUUGGAAGAUUGAGAGGGGUUGCUCCUAGUACGAGAGGACCGGAGUGAACGCACCACUGGUGUUCGGGUUGUCAUGCCAAUGGCAUUGCCCGGUAGCUAAGUGCGGAAGAGAUAACCGCUGAAAGCAUCUAAGCGGGAAACUUGCCUCGAGAUGAGUCUUCCCUGUCACUUUAAGUGACCUAAAGGAACGUUUAAGACUAAGACGUUGAUAGGCUGGGUGUGUAAGCGUAGCGAUACGUUGAGCUAACCAGUACUAAUGAACCGUGAGGCUUAACCUG